GAUUGAACGCUGGCGGCAUGCUUUACACAUGCAAGUCGGACGGCAGCACAGAGAAGCUUGCUUCUUGGGUGGCGAGUGGCGAACGGGUGAGUAAUAUAUCGGAACGUACCGAGCAGUGGGGGAUAACUAAUCGAAAGAUUAGCUAAUACCGCAUAUUUUCUGAGGAAGAAAGCAGGGGACCAUUUGGCCUUGCGCUGUUUGAGCGGCCGAUAUCUGAUUAGCUGGUUGGUGGGGUAAAGGCCUACCAAGGCGACGAUCAGUAGCGGGUCUGAGAGGAUGAUCCGCCACACUGGGACUGAGACACGGCCCAGACUCCUACGGGAGGCAGCAGUGGGGAAUUUUGGACAAUGGGCGCAAGCCUGAUCCAGCCAUGCCGCGUGUCUGAAGAAGGCCUUCGGGUUGUAAAGGACUUUUGUCAGGGAAGAAAAGGAUAGGGUUAAUACCCCUGUCUGAUGACGGUACCUGAAGAAUAAGCACCGGCUAACUACGU
rnacentral:rRNA from 1 species